UGACGGCUGGGGUGAGCUGUAAAAUCUUGUACAAUUCGUACGACACGACAUGCUCCAGUCUUUGCGAUGUUCAACAGCGAAUGGUGCGAGUCAUAAGGCACAGUCCGUGACGGGGUGACCGUCCCGGCGUUUCCCGUCGAUCCUUAUGUCGCGUCCCGUUGCGCCCCGUCGAAUGUGAACUGGGCUUAACAAUGGCAUGGAGACAGUUUCAAUUGCAGUUUAAUGUUACUGCACUGCACUGCAGGUAUCAAGGCACUACCCAGAGGGAGGAUGUUGGCCUUCUCCUGAUGGGAAAAUGUCUUCUUUCUCAUGGCGUGGCCAGGACUGCACUGACCCUACCAUCCACUCUACCUCUCCGGAAAGGGACUUGACAACCAGUCAAGAUGGAUGUGCAGAGAUAUACCAGCGCUUCUAGCAUUAACUGCCAAUUUGCACUGACGCAGCAAGACUCCCAACAGUCAAAAAGAAUAAUAUAGACGUGCAGAAAAUGUAGGAGAGCGAUGACAUCAGAAGGACACUCUCAGGUUCAGGGUACCUGUACUGCCCCAAUAAAUUGGGUCAGAUC